CCUACGGGCGGCAGCAGUAGGGAAUCUUCCACAAUGGGCGAAAGCCUGAUGGAGCAACGCCGCGUGGGUGAAGAAGGUCUUCGGAUCGUAAAACCCUGUUGUUAGAGAAGAAAGUGCGUGAGAGUAACUGUUCACGUUUCGACGGUAUCUAACCAGAAAGCCACGGCUAACUACGUGCAAGCAGCCGCGGUAAUACGUAGGUGGCAAGCGUUAUCCGGAUUUAUGGGGCGUAAAGGGAACGCAGGCGGUCUUUUAAGUCUGAUGUGAAAGCCUUCGGCUUAACCGGAGUAGUGCAUUGGAAACUGGGAGACUUGAGUGCAGAAGAGGAGAGUGGAACUCCAUGUGUAGCGGUGAAAUGCGUAGAUAUAUGGAAGAACACCAGUGGCGAAAGCGACUCUCUGGUCUGUAACUGACGCUGAGGUUCGAAAGCGUGGGUAGCAAACAGGAUUAGAUACCCUUGUAGUC
rnacentral:rRNA from 1 species